AAGUAGGGGAUCGUAAGACCUUGCGCUUUUGGAGCGGCCGAUGUCUGAUUAGCUAGUUGGUGGGGUAAUGGCCUACCAAGGCUUCGAUCAGUAGCUGGUCUGAGAGGACGGCCAGCCACACUGGGACUGAGACACGGCCCAGACUCCUACGGGAGGCAGCAGUGGGGAAUUUUGGACAAUGGGCGCAAGCCUGAUCCAGCCAUGCCGCGUGAGUGAAGAAGGCCUUCGGGUUGUAAAGCUCUUUCUGCCGGGAAGAAAAGGUUGCGACUAAUAAUCGCAAUUCAUGACGGUACCCAAAGAAGAAGCACCGGCUAA
rnacentral:rRNA from 1 species